AGUCGAGUGAUUCUGCACGAUUUUUGGUUAAACUGAAACUAGCUUUUCAUCGCUUUCUUAGGUUUCGUUUGGGAUUGCGGGGAGAUAGCCUUACGUGCGGUGAGAAAAUAGGUUAGAAAAAUAUUCCGCAUGUCGCGAUGAGUCGGUUACGAUAUAUUUUCUGCGAUUCCACCGAAAAACACAAAAGCAUAUCCCUAUAUAAUUUUUCCACAACUCCAUUUUAUCUAAUAGCGUUAGAUAUGUCUCAAUACGAAACUAAGCCUUAGUUAUUCGUUAAUAUAUGGAUUUUACAGGGAAUCACUACUGUUAAAAGACAUAAUAUUUCAUGUGGGAUUGGUUUAUCUCACCUUAAUUAACUCCAAACUACGCGCCGUUAAUUUAAUGAAUAAUAACCCGAUUAGCUAAAAAUCCAUGCAUCGAAGUGGUAGUUGCCGACAACUAAUCGAAACCAAAUUAAUUUAAGAGUGAGACCAACUAAAGCACAUAAAUAAAAUGCUAUACAGAUAAAGCUACUUAUGAUUUUGUCAUGGUACUAAUCACAGCAAAUCAAUUAUGUCAUGUGAAUUGAAAGGGAAUUUGUUUCCUAACUUUUCCAAACUAACAACCAAUUUGUGUCAUUUCUCUCAUUAAAUUUUAUUAGAAUAAAGUAGAUGUUGACUUGUUAUAAUAAGAAAUAAGAUGCUUUUGGUCUCUCUCUCCCUCAGGCAGUGUUUGGUCUCAUUUUUUAAAAGUGAGUUUGGACUUAAAAAUAAUUUUUGAUUAAAUAGAAUAUUUGGCAAUCUUAUUUUCAAAAUUUGAUUCUAAUUUUUAGAAUUAGUUUUAUGAUUUUUGAGGCCCAAAGUCAGAAGCAGCUAAAUUUAAAGUUUAAAUUUUUGAUUUUUGAGGCUCAAAAUUUAAAUUUUUAUUUUUAAUUCAAUGUUUAAAUUUAAAUUUAAAUUUUUAAAUUUAUUUUUGAAUUUUUUAAUUUUAGCUUUUAAAUUUUAAGAUUUAAAUUUUAGAUUUAAAUUUUAAAUUUAAAGUUCAAAUUUCAAAUUUUAAAUUUAAAUUUUAAAUUUUUAAUUUUAAAAUUCAAAUAGUUUAAAUUUUAGCUUUAAAAUUUGAGAUAAAAUUUAAAUUUUGAAAUUUUAGAAUUUAAAAUUUAAUUAAAAUAUAAAAAUUUAAAAUUUAAAAUUAUAUGUUUUAAUUUGUCAAAUUAUAAAUUUUAAAAUUUUAAAAGUCAAAUUUUAAAUUUUAAAUUUUAUUUAGAUUUUAGAUUUGAAAUUAAAACUUUAUAUUUACUUUAAAAUUUUAAAUUUUAAAUUUUAAAUUUUCAAAUUUUAAAUUUAUUUUUUAAGUUAAAAUAUCAAAUUUUAAAUUUUGUACAAAUUUUAAAUUUUAAUUCAAAUUUUAAAUUAUUUUAAAAUAAAAUUUAGUAAAAGUAUUAUUAUAUGCAAACAGCAAAAUUUUUGUGCCAAACAAUUUACAAAAUCACUUUAGAAAAAUUAUUUUUAUUUAAACUCAACCAAACGCUUUACAAUUUUUAAUCAAAAUCAAUUCUACUUCAAACUAAAAUCAAUUCUAGAAAAAUCACUUUUCCAAAAUUUAUGCCAAGCGGACUCUGUCGAAAAUAAUAAAAAAAAAAGAAAAAAAAGCAGCUUUAGGGUAAGUAGGAUUUGAUAGACCCUGUUUGGAUUGCAUCACCCUAAGGCUAAGGGAGGAUAUGGUGGAGCUUUAUUAGCUAUAAGUGGUCAAAAUUAGUGUGAAAUGAUACUGUUCUCACUUUUAAGUAGUAUGAUAUGAUUGAGCCCAUUUGGAUUGCAUCACUCUUUAAGGGAGAAUAAUUAUUACUCAAAAAGAAAGAAAGAAAAAAAAAAAAUACUGUUCUUACUUGAACAAGUGAAGGAGUAUCUUACUUUUUUAAGGUUUUCUAUGUAGCUUAGAUUAGUAUUGGUAUUUUUAUUCAGUUACUUUCUUUCUCAUGGAUCUUAAUUCUGUGAAAAUUAUGAGGUCGACAUUCGAUGUUAAACCUUAGAUCCUAAGCUUCUUCAACUCACCAUCGAUCGUGUGUAACGCAUCAGAAAUGUCUGAAUGAAUAAGAAUUAAUUUACUUGAAGGCGAGAACGUCUCUAUUGCUGUACUAGUGCAGUCAAAAAACGACAUAAAAUAUUAAAAAUCGAAAGUUUUUAAACAGACUUUAAAUUAUAGUUAGUCGAUCAACUUCUAAGAUGGGUAAUUUUGCCUCCUCUCUUUUCUUCUUCUUCUUUUUUUUUUGGUAUGAAUUACUUAAUUAGCUAGGUAGGCGAGAACAAAAGCUUCUACUAUUAUAUUACAGUAGUAAAUUCUAAAUAAUAUAGUGUCACAUAGUGUCUCCAAAUCUUCAAUAUGUUUUCUUCUUGAAGCAAUGGUGACAAUCUUAUAUUCUGAAGUUAUUUCAUAAGAAGGUAAACUGAGAGUCUCAAUCACUGGCAAGUACAGCUUUAAGUCUUAAUCAAUUAAUCACACACCACUUGUGAUGACUUAGAGAAUAAAGAAGCUUUUGCCAGCAUAUUAGUUGGUUAAUUAUGCAAAACUUAAAGACCAUAGCCUUUCAUUUCAAAGGGUAUCUACGACUUGGUUCUCUAUGAAGCAAAGAAUAUUGUGGUUCACUAAUUUGUAAGUGGGACUAGAUUCAUGUUUUUGCUGGAUGUGAGAAGAUAGAACUUAAAGUCCAGGCUUAGCCAGAGACCAUACUCUUUUCAAUUUGUCGGAUUGUUUAGGGUCUUUUUCUAUUCGUUGCUGCAGUUUUCUGUAAUAGAGUGUUUGACGAUCGCAAGUUGAGAAAACUUAGAGAGGAAUCAAAUAUGAUAUUUAUCUUGAAAACACUUAUCAAACUGUAGUAAACCCUACGUCAGAGUCAUACAAUAGCUACCUAAGAUUGACAACUUACUCAAACGAAAUUGGUCUGGGAACCAACAGUGCGUGAUGUGCGGCAACGAUAUAGAGACUGUUGAUCAUCUACUUGUCGGGUGUGUGAUCAACAUAUUUUUUAUGUAUAAUAUUCUAGAAUAUAGGCACAUCUCGUGGCCUGGAAUGAAGGUCAGGAGUGUCUGGGAGCUUCUUGCAGGGAAUGCCGCCAAGGGGCAACGGCGGGGAUCUAAUCAAAGUCGUAAUUUGUUAAUGAAUGAUCUGAUGGAAAAGAAAUAACAUAAUUUUUAGGAACCAAUUAUUCAAUCCUUUGUUGGCUAUUAGACAAAUCCUGGACGUGACAGAAAUUGGGUUUAAGGUUUACAGCUCUUAGUGACUUGUAUUUGAGUGAGAAGUGAGGAGUAGAAUUAUCAAUUUUUCUACUAUUUUAUUUUUAUUUGUCCUUUUUGUUUUGGUUGCUUCGAAUGUUUUUCGAUGCCGCGUUGUCUUAACCCAUAUAGCUAAAUUUAUUUGCUAAAUGAAUGAAGCGGGUAGCCUGUUACUUUUUUCUUAAAAAAAAAAAGAAAAAAAAAAGGGGUCCUUGGCCUCAAAUGAUUUCCACUAUUUAAAAUAGGCGAUUACUUUGGAAAAAUGUCGAAUUUAUAUAGACUAAAAUGCCAAUAGAUUGACUAAGUCAUGACCUCUUAAUUAAUUUGCCGAACCACAUCACUGCAUUUAGUAUGUUCAUCUUCAUUUUCUACUCUCAUGUUCCCUGCCUUGCCUAACUGUUGCCCACCAUCUAAAAGAAAAUACUUUUCUUCAUAUGCAAUCAUUUAUUGCCAUUUGAUGACUAGUUCUAAAUUCUUGGAUGUAUUAGAAAUAUGGGCAAUUACUUACGUACCUCUGAAAAGUUUCUGACUUUCAGAUUUACUCUUCUUAGAAGGCUAAUAUUGAAAAUACUUUUUUUACGUUCCAACCUAUUUCAAAUAUAUUCCUAGAGUUAAAAUCUGUUAAUGAACUUUGUUAUCUAUAUAAAAUUACUAUUUUGUCCUUUCAAACAUACCCUGCUAUCAUCACCGACUUUUCUUAUUUGCCCUUAAGUCAGGGGCAGAAAAAGUAUUUUGACUUUUGAUAUUUUCAAAUAUACUCCUCUACCGUCACCAAUAUUUCUUAUUUGCCCUCAAGUUAAGGACAAAAUUAGUAUUUUAAUUUUUUUUUAACUAUGGUAGAUAUUUAACUCACGUUUAACCCAAAUUAACUUAAAGGGUGGUAACUUUAACCCAAGUUAACUUAACGGAUGGCAACUGUAGGGGUAUUUUGGAAUAACGGAGGAACAUAUGAGGAAUAUAUUGGAAAGAAAAAAAAAAAGGGAUAAAUAAGAUAUUUUCAAAGUUUUGAGGGGUAUAUAGGCAAUUGUCCCUUAUAAAUAUUGUACUGUGUGAACUAUGUUGGAUCCCUUUCUGUGUAAUGUAUUCUUUUGAAUUUAAUUAGUAUUACUUUUUUUAAGACAUUUGGGCAUUUCAUUAAUUUUUCUAACUACUCUCUCUUUGUUAAAAUAUUUAUUGCGAGUGGGAUUUGACCUGAAUUGAUUAAAAAUAACUUGAAAUUGAAUAUCAUUUCUUCAUACACAGGUAAAAGCUAGGUUACAAAUAAUUUGGUGCAAUGGUAUUUUGAAUGUUAGGUACAUGAAUUUCUUAAUUAGAAAUCAAGGAACAACUAUAUACCACAUGCAAAAUUACUUUAUGCAUGUGUUUUUGUCCUUUUAUACUAGAAAAAUUAUUUACUUAAUUGUCAUUUCCUUAUAAUUUAAAGUAGGAAAAUUAAGUUAGAACUAAAUAUGCAACUUAUAUAAGAAUUCACUGGGGGUAAUACCAAAAAUUUUAACCUUUUGUUCUUUGUAGAGCUUGUGCGAAUAAACAACUAGUAAUAAUGAGAUGAAUGAGAAAAUCACACACAAAAGAGAACUAUAGAGUUUCAAGUUUCAACCCUAUAGGCUAUAGGCUAUGUAACAAUUAAAAAAAAAAAAAAAAAAAAUGAGUUUUACCAUUUACUUAUUGUUAAA
rnacentral:lncRNA from 1 species